rnacentral:lncRNA from 1 species
UUUAGGUAUUGUGCUUCACUGUUAAUUUUCUCAUUUUCAGUCACUUAAGACCACUGUAACUUUGCACGCUAUCUUGAAAAGUCCUCCUUUUUUUUUCCCCCCCUCCCACUUUUCCUUUUCUGGAAUUUGACUGCAAACAAAUUUCCCAGCAGUUUUCUUUCUCAUCAGUUGAAGUGAGCUCCUUGUGUCCUUGCUGUCUGGCAUAUUCUCUAGUCCUGUAACCAUAUUUGUGGUUCCUGUCUGAUCUUUCUGCAAUUUACCCCCUCUUGCUGUUCUGUUCUGCAGGGCCCUAGCUUAGAAACACAGAUGGUGGAUGAUGAAACUGAGACUACAGGUGAAGAAUUGCCUCCUCAUCUGCGGGAAGAGCCUCCUGAAGAGCCCAUCUGCUGGGGCAGUCUAUCCCAUGGAGCUGCACCUUCAGAAAUGUCCUGAAUGAGGUUAGUAAAGGUGUGAGACUGCUAAGGACACAUCUGCUUUUGUUCUCUUUAACUCAGGUGUU